rnacentral:lncRNA from 1 species
AGCUGCUCCCGUUUCCAUCCAAGUAGAUGGAAAUAGCAACUGUAUUCACAUCUAACACAAAAGGAAAUGUUAACUCGCUAGAUUCUAGUAGGAGUUUCCACGCUGGGUUAAUAGCCCUAACUCCCAAACUAUAAUUUGAACCUGGAUUUGGAGGUAGCGGUGGCGGAGGAGACGGGGGUGGCGGCGGCGGCUUUUUGGCGGAGGGGGAGACGGGCGAGACGAGGCCCGAGGGACGGGCGAGACGGGGGGUGGCGCCCGAUGUCUGGAGGCCGGGAGGUAUUCCGCGCGGAAAAAUAGGUUGAGACGGGCCGGACUCCCCCGCCUAGCAGGCUUCCAAAGGCACCGGUAAGUUAGCUCGUGGAAACUUUCCGCAUGGGUUUCCUCCACGGGAAAAAGGUCGGGAACCCGGUGGGGAAAUGGGCUGCCAAACAAGCCCUUAGGAAAUUAUUAGGAGUAGAGAUAAAUAUAGGGUUGAGUUGGACUGUGAAGGAGGUAUGAGGGUCAUGAUCUAUUACCCCCUUUAGUUGUGGGCGGAGUGGCUGGUGGCGGGUUGCCGCUGGCCGUGGGAGGUGGCGGAGGCUGGCGGAACAGGGUUAGGGAUCGGAGUUUGAGGGCUCC